CCUACGGGAGGCAGCAGUGGGGAAUAUUGCGCAAUGGGCGAAAGCCUGACGCAGCGACGCCGCGUGAGGGAUGAAGGUCUUCGGAUCGUACACCUCUGUCAGCAGGGAAGAACGGUCACUGUGCUAAUCAGCAGUGAAUUGACGGUACCUGCAAAGGAAGCACCGGCUAACUCCGUGCCAGCAGCCGCGGUAAUACGGAGGGUGCGAGCGUUAAUCGGAAUUACUGGGCGUAAAGCGCUCGUAGGCGGUAGGUCAAGUCAAGGGUGAAAUCCCCGCGCUCAACGUGGGAACUGCCUUUGAUACGGGGCAACUGGAGUGUGUGAGAGGGUAGUAGAAUUCCAGGUGUAGGAGUGAAAUCCGUAGAGAUGGGGAGGAACAUCAGGGGCGAAGGCGACUAUCUGGCACAUAACUGACGCUGAGGAGCGAAAGCGUGGGGAGCAAACAGGAUUAGAUACCCGAGUAGUC
rnacentral:rRNA from 1 species